rnacentral:misc_RNA from 1 species
GUUUCCGUCUUGGAUGAACUGUUCCGCUUGAGAAAUCGCAUUCUGAACAGCUAAAAGCUGCUCCAUUGCAUUCAUUGCUGGAGGGGCUAUGACCUUAACUUCGUCGACUGGGGUAUUUUGGUUGAAAAGUCGCGUAAGCAUCAUGAAGACUGCCAUGAAUGCAAGUAGCAGAGCGAAGGCGUAGGGCAGCCAGUCCCUGUAGAUAAUGUAACUGGAGACCAAACAGAAUGUCAAAGACUUGAUAGGAUCUUCCCAUAGUGCCAAAGAAAGAAGGAACUUCCCAAGUUCACUCACUGGCAACAUUAAUUCCUUCAUCACUGCCAAAUUAGUAUCAAU